rnacentral:sRNA from 1 species
CUCUAGAUUUAUUGUGGUUAUAAACUGUGGUUACAAACUGUUUAACUGAAUGGCAUAUCACCAUUAUGAAUAUCGUAAUUGUCAUUAUUUUAUUUGAAUAUCUCUGAUUAUUUCACAAAAUGGCAAAUAUUUGUUUUCAUAUCAACAUACAGUGCUCGUGUUAGUGACUGAGGAAAAUGACGAUUCAGACAAUCUUCGAUACUGUAAACCAAUUUUUAUUUGUGACCAAGAAAUUUUCAUGAGGUUCGCGAGAGCCUGGUUAUCGCGAAUUCAUAUUUCUUGCUGCAGAUCAGUUCUCAAAUGUGUCUGCUAUAUUAUUUUCAAGACGAUCUAAAUCUUGAUCAAGAAAAUUAGUCGCCCCAAACCCAUUUUAUCUCUUGCAAAUCACGAAUUAUAGUUGUUGCGUAAAAGUUGGUUAACAGUAAGCGUCUGUAGUGUGUGAAAUGUCUUUUUACAUUUUUAUUCAAAUGUUCUGUCUCAGUUAAAGCUACAAAACUUGUCCGUGUCUUACUAAGUCUUUCCUGUAAACUUUGAAAAAAAUAAAGAUAAUGAAAGGGGGAUGUUAUAAAGAAAUGUCAUAAUAAUAUAUAGCAAAUAAAAGUGAUGUAAUUUUAUAUUUGUUGAAAUAACUCCAUUCAUAAUUGUAAUUUAUCCAAAGAUAAAUUAAAAUUAAGUGUGUAGAAAAAUCUGAGGCAGAUUAUUGAUCCUUUGAAUUAUAGAUACAUUCAACCAAAGUGGUAUUAAAUUCAUUUGCCUUGGGGAUGUUUGUUUUUCAAAUGCAUACACAGAAAUUUAUUUUUCAUUGUGGGUAAAUACAGAACAAAGCAGGGUGUUGAUUGACUGAUGUGGUCGUAGAGAUGCUGAUGUACCGAAGGGUUACAUAAUUACGUGUUGUAAUUCAUUAGUUAUUGAUUCAAAUCAUGGCAUUGUUGAAAUUAUGUGGUUAAUAAAUGAAAAUUGUUCCU